AGUGAACGCUGGCGGCGUGCUUAACACAUGCAAGUCGAACGAGAACGGUCCUUCGGGAUGUCAGCUAAGUGGCGGACGGGUGAGUAAUGUAUAGUUAAUUUGCCCCUUAGAGGGGGAUAACAGUUGGAAACGACUGCUAAUACCCCAUACUCCUUUAUAGUUAAUCUAUAUUGGGAAAUGUUUUUUCGCUAAGGGAUAAGACUAUAUGGUAUCAGGUAGUUGGUGGGGUAAGAGCCUACCAAGCCGAUGACGCCUAGCUGGUCUGAGAGGAUGAUCAGCCACACUGGAACUGAGACACGGUCCAGACUCCUACGGGAGGCAGCAGUGGGGAAUAUUGCACAAUGGAGGAAACUCUGAUGCAGCAACGCCGCGUGGAGGAUGACACAUCCUCGGUGCGUAAACUCCUUUUAUAUGGGAAGAUAAUGACGGUACCAUAUGAAUAAGCACCGGCUAACUCCGU
rnacentral:rRNA from 1 species